rnacentral:rRNA from 1 species
UAAGCGACUAAGCGUACACGGUGGAUGCCCUGGCAGUCAGAGGCGAUGAAGGACGUGCUAAUCUGCGAUAAGCGUCGGUAAGGUGAUAUGAACCGUUAUAACCGGCGAUUUCCGAAUGGGGAAACCCAGUGUGUUUCGACACACUAUCAUUAACUGAAUCCAUAGGUUAAUGAGGCGAACCGGGGGAACUGAAACAUCUAAGUACCCCGAGGAAAAGAAAUCAACCGAGAUUCCCCCAGUAGCGGCGAGCGAACGGGGAGCAGCCCAGAGCCUGAAUCAGUGUGUGUGUUAGUGGAAGCGUCUGGAAAGGCGCGCGAUACAGGGUGACAGCCCCGUACACAAAAAUGCACAUGCUGUGAGCUCGAUGAGUAGGGCGGGACACGUGGUAUCCUGUCUGAAUAUGGGGGGACCAUCCUCCAAGGCUAAAUACUCCUGACUGACCGAUAGUGAACCAGUACCGUGAGGGAAAGGCGAAAAGAACCCCGGCGAGGGGAGUGAAAAAGAACCUGAAACCGUGUACGUACAAGCAGUGGGAGCACGCUUAGGCGUGUGACUGCGUACCUUUUGUAUAAUGGGUCAGCGACUUAUAUUCUGUAGCAAGGUUAACCGAAUAGGGGAGCCGAAGGGAAACCGAGUCUUAACUGGGCGUUAAGUUGCAGGGUAUAGACCCGAAACCCGGUGAUCUAGCCAUGGGCAGGUUGAAGGUUGGGUAACACUAACUGGAGGACCGAACCGACUAAUGUUGAAAAAUUAGCGGAUGACUUGUGGCUGGGGGUGAAAGGCCAAUCAAACCGGGAGAUAGCUGGUUCUCCCCGAAAGCUAUUUAGGUAGCGCCUCGUGAAUUCAUCUCCGGGGGUAGAGCACUGUUUCGGCAAGGGGGUCAUCCCGACUUACCAACCCGAUGCAAACUGCGAAUACCGGAGAAUGUUAUCACGGGAGACACACGGCGGGUGCUAACGUCCGUCGUGAAGAGGGAAACAACCCAGACCGCCAGCUAAGGUCCCAAAGUCAUGGUUAAGUGGGAAACGAUGUGGGAAGGCCCAGACAGCCAGGAUGUUGGCUUAGAAGCAGCCAUCAUUUAAAGAAAGCGUAAUAGCUCACUGGUCGAGUCGGCCUGCGCGGAAGAUGUAACGGGGCUAAACCAUGCACCGAAGCUGCGGCAGCGACGCUGAUGCGUUGUUGGGUAGGGGAGCGUUCUGUAAGCCUGCGAAGGUGUGCUGUGAGGCAUGCUGGAGGUAUCAGAAGUGCGAAUGCUGACAUAAGUAACGAUAAAGCGGGUGAAAAGCCCGCUCGCCGGAAGACCAAGGGUUCCUGUCCAACGUUAAUCGGGGCAGGGUGAGUCGACCCCUAAGGCGAGGCCGAAAGGCGUAGUCGAUGGGAAACAGGUUAAUAUUCCUGUACUUGGUGUUACUGCGAAGGGGGGACGGAGAAGGCUAUGUUGGCCGGGCGACGGUUGUCCCGGUUUAAGCGUGUAGGCUGGUUUUCCAGGCAAAUCCGGAAAAUCAAGGCUGAGGCGUGAUGACGAGGCACUACGGUGCUGAAGCAACAAAUGCCCUGCUUCCAGGAAAAGCCUCUAAGCAUCAGGUAACAUCAAAUCGUACCCCAAACCGACACAGGUGGUCAGGUAGAGAAUACCAAGGCGCUUGAGAGAACUCGGGUGAAGGAACUAGGCAAAAUGGUGCCGUAACUUCGGGAGAAGGCACGCUGAUAUGUAGGUGAGGUCCCUCGCGGAUGGAGCUGAAAUCAGUCGAAGAUACCAGCUGGCUGCAACUGUUUAUUAAAAACACAGCACUGUGCAAACACGAAAGUGGACGUAUACGGUGUGACGCCUGCCCGGUGCCGGAAGGUUAAUUGAUGGGGUUAGCGCAAGCGAAGCUCUUGAUCGAAGCCCCGGUAAACGGCGGCCGUAACUAUAACGGUCCUAAGGUAGCGAAAUUCCUUGUCGGGUAAGUUCCGACCUGCACGAAUGGCGUAAUGAUGGCCAGGCUGUCUCCACCCGAGACUCAGUGAAAUUGAACUCGCUGUGAAGAUGCAGUGUACCCGCGGCAAGACGGAAAGACCCCGUGAACCUUUACUAUAGCUUGACACUGAACAUUGAGCCUUGAUGUGUAGGAUAGGUGGGAGGCUUAGAAGUGUGGACGCCAGUCUGCAUGGAGCCGACCUUGAAAUACCACCCUUUAAUGUUUGAUGUUCUAACGUUGACCCGUAAUCCGGGUUGCGGACAGUGUCUGGUGGGUAGUUUGACUGGGGCGGUCUCCUCCUAAAGAGUAACGGAGGAGCACGAAGGUUGGCUAAUCCUGGUCGGACAUCAGGAGGUUAGUGCAAUGGCAUAAGCCAGCUUGACUGCGAGCGUGACGGCGCGAGCAGGUGCGAAAGCAGGUCAUAGUGAUCCGGUGGUUCUGAAUGGAAGGGCCAUCGCUCAACGGAUAAAAGGUACUCCGGGGAUAACAGGCUGAUACCGCCCAAGAGUUCAUAUCGACGGCGGUGUUUGGCACCUCGAUGUCGGCUCAUCACAUCCUGGGGCUGAAGUAGGUCCCAAGGGUAUGGCUGUUCGCCAUUUAAAGUGGUACGCGAGCUGGGUUUAGAACGUCGUGAGACAGUUCGGUCCCUAUCUGCCGUGGGCGCUGGAGAACUGAGGGGGGCUGCUCCUAGUACGAGAGGACCGGAGUGGACGCAUCACUGGUGUUCGGGUUGUCAUGCCAAUGGCACUGCCCGGUAGCUAAAUGCGGAAGAGAUAAGUGCUGAAAGCAUCUAAGCACGAAACUUGCCCCGAGAUGAGUUCUCCCUGACCCUUUAAGGGUCCUGAAGGAACGUUGAAGACGACGACGUUGAUAGGCCGGGUGUGUAAGCGCAGCGAUGCGUUGAGCUAACCGGUACUAAUGAACCGUGAGGCUUAACCU